rnacentral:lncRNA from 1 species
UGACACCACAACAUUCAUUAUAGGAAGUAAGAGACAUUCAUCACUGGAAUAUUUUAGCAAAUGAAUCACAACAGACUGAUAGCAUAACUCAUGUUCUAAGGCCAAGAACAAGAAUUGCAUAGUUUAUUUUAAGACAGCAGAAGAGUAAAAAACAGAUUGAAAAACAUAUGAUACCCUCUCCAGCUCAGAGCUCUACAAACAGCAGUGGCGUUUGCAAAGUUCUAUGUAUCUUCUCAAAUGUGGUUUCAGUUUUAAUGUGUGUUGACAUCUUUGUGUGCAGAACUAACUGGAGGAACAACAGUUUGUGCUUUUUUUCCCUUCUUGCUACAAGGGUGAGAACAGGGAAAGAACCAAACGAUCUGUGUUUACUUUGAGCAGCCAUACACCAUGCAUGGACACUAAGCUUCUUACUGCUUCUGAUUAGUGACCUCAAUUGAGACUCAUUGCUCAUUGCAAAGACUGCUAAUGGAUUGUUUGAGCCUGAAUGUGUUAGGAUGGAAUAUUUCUUCUUCUCAGAUUCAAGGCCAGUUUUUUUCCACCCCAAGUCCAUUCUACCCAGAGUUCUAGAUGAUGAUGGUCAGGUUAUUCAAGAUAAUGAUUAUGUUUUCUAGAUGAUUUAAAAUGAAGUUCAACUUUUAUUAUCUUCCCUAUAAUGAUAUUUGUAGUCUUUAUGUUCAAUAACAAGCUGUCAGGCUGCCUCAGUUUAAGCCAAGGCAUUUUCUUAUCAAAACCCAUCACAGAAAAAGAUACAAUCAUGAAACCACAGAUUCUUGUAGCUCUUCACAGUAAACUUUAACUAUGAAUAACCUCUUGGAUUAUUAGCCGAUUGUGAUUACAUUUAUAUUAUUUGCUCACAUGCUUUGUCACUUUAGAGCCCUGAAAACCCUGUUCAUUGUUGCUAGGAGAUGGGUGGCUAUGGCAACAGUGUGGGUCAGAGCCAGAUGGAAUGCCUAAAGCAUAAUCAGGUUUAGGCUUUUUUUUGAUCUCCAAAUGACUCCAUGGCAGUCCUGAGCACGGAAGCCCCAAAUCACUGCCUCUUCAGCUUGUUUCAAAAGACUGAGUCUCACACUGUCACCCGGGCUGGAGUGCAGUAGU